ACGACAUGUACCGGGGAUUAUCGUGGUUAUCGCGACAAACACGGACAUAAUGUUUUCUACGCGGACUCCGAGAAGUGUCGAAGAGGCAAUAAUAAUUAAUGUUGAACGAUAUGAGCGUUCACAUCGAGUGACACAGACUGAUCGAUGUCAUAGGCCGGUUGUCUUGAGCGAUAACCCCUUUCCGUGACAUCGGGCCGCGCGUUAUCAUUUCCACGAAUGCCUGCUGCACACACCGAAUUCUUUUCCUCGGAUCGGACUUUCUACGCGAGCGAGAAGAUACGCGCCUGAUUUCUCUUCGUCCCUCACGUGUAUCUCUCAGCCACGCAAAUUCCGCCGACGUUCACUAUCAAUUUCUAUAACGGCGAAGCUCACUCUCGACUCUUUAUAUUUCAUGCACACGUUAUUCUCCGUAAGAUCUCGGCGUCGACUCUUCCUCGAACGUGUUUUCGCUCCGUUAGAAGUCUCCGAUAUCCUUAGCAAUUAGAAUAACGACAGUGACGACGUCAACUGAUAACUAUUUUAUCUUCUACGAGAAAACGGCUAAAAUGGAAUAUAGGAUGGUAUGUGUACGUCGCAAUGCAGCGUGUUUGUGUUCUACGACCGUCGGCAUCUUAUUAUUUGGCAUCAUUCUUCGAGAAAUGAGGGGAGAGACGCCUCUGGAUCUUAAUUCAUUGCGGUACAUAUUCCGCGGUCCUCGUUAUUGGAUUCCUCCUGAUAAUUCUGCCUUAAAUCAUCUCGACGCUGGAGAACGCCGGAUUGGAAAGGGGCCUCUAAUUUCGCGCUGAGUCUCUACGGGGUCGUGGAUUAUGCAGGAACCGGCAAAGGGUUGAUCCUCGAGGGACGCGUGCGUCGACGUGACACUACUUGGCCUCUCCGCUAAUAGAAUACCGCCUUCGGGUAAACGGUUGUUUGAAACAUUCCGGAAUACCGGUCAGCCAAUUACCAGUUCCCCGAGACUGAUUAUUCCAUUUUGGAUGCAUAGAUUUUUCUUGCGAGACACGAGAUAAAUCGAGAAAUACAUAUCUAAAUAUAUUUCUUA